AACGCACCACACAAGUGCUGGCAUUUAAUUGGUUGUGGCGCUGUUUGUAUAUAAGGGGCCCUCCCUCACCUGGUCAAUAUGUGUUUCCGGUUUAGACCUCUGUUGCUGUGCAGCGCCAGUAGCACACUCAGGUGUGCACGUUGAUCGCUCCUUCUUCUGGUGGCCUGUGUAAAUUGCCUGAUCCUCCUCCCAGCCAGAGGCACUACACAUAGAGCUUGUGACGCUGCUGUUUGUCCUUGGCCGGCUGUUUGCCUGUUGCCCUGUGGUUCCUGGUUGAUGUCAGCUGUUAUUUUGGUUGUCCGUCGGCAGUCCAUUUGUCGCUCUGGUUGCUGGCUCUCUGCCAGCCGUCGUGGUCAGCGUGAACCUGACUCCUGCCCUUUGUCCAGCUUGGCUGGUUCGGACUGGCGACCAGCUUGGACGGACUCUGCUGCCGCUCUUGAGUGGCGUCUGUGGCGUGGCAUCCCAGGACGAAUUCUUAAUUGACAAUUGCUGCUGAUUGAUUGUUGACUGAACGACAAUUAUGAAAUGACUCAUGUAAUUUGAAUGUCUUUUAUCUUGACAGGAAAGGCCAGUUCGUGGUGUUGGUGGUGGACUUUCCGGGUGGUGGUACUCUUUUGAUUUGCUGCACAAUUUUCUUUAGUUUUGUUGUUUUGUUUGCUGUGUUUCUUUUAUUUAGGUCACUACCCUGAACUGCACUGCCACCCUUGACUUGAGCCGUCACUGUUAUUUAUUUAAUGUGAGUGGUUUUAACUUGG